rnacentral:piRNA from 1 species
UGACCACUGCCACUGGAUUUUCUUGG